GAUGAACGCUAGCUACAGGCUUAACACACGCAAGUCGAGGGGAAACGAUAGAGAAAGCUUGCUUUUUCUAGGCGUCGACCGGCGCACGGGUGAGUAACGCGUAUCCAACCUGCCCAUCACUUGGGGAUAACCUUGCGAAAGUAAGACUAAUACCCAAUGACGUCUCUAGAAGACAUCUGAAAGGGAUUAAAGAUUUAUCGGUGAUGGAUGGGGAUGCGUCUGAUUAGCUUGUUGGCGGGGUAACGGCCCACCAAGGCGACGAUCAGUAGGGGUUCUGAGAGGAGGGUCCCCCACAUUGGAACUGAGACACGGUCCAAACUCCUACGGGAGGCAGCAGUGAGGAAUAUUGGUCAAUGGGCGAGAGCCUGAACCAGCCAAGUAGCGUGCAGGAUGACGGCCCUAUGGGUCGUAAACUGCUUUUAUAAGGGAAUAAAGUGAGUCUCGUGAGACUUUUUGCAUGUACCUUAUGAAUAAGGACCGGCUAAUUCCGUGCCAGCAGCCGCCGUAA
rnacentral:rRNA from 1 species